rnacentral:rRNA from 1 species
AUUGAACGCUGGCGGCAGGCCUAACACAUGCAAGUCGAACGGAGUGGCGCACGGGUGAGUAAUGUAUAGCUAAUCUGCCCUACACUAGAGGACAACAGUUGGAAACGGCUGCUAAUACGUGUAGGAUGAGGCUAUAUUGUAUCAGCUAGUUGGUGAGGUAAUGGCUCACCAAGGCUAUGACGCAUAACUGGUCUGAGAGGAUGAUCAUUCACACUGGAACUGAGACACGGCCCAGACUCCUACGGGAGGCAGCAGUGGGGAAUCUUCCGCAAUGGACGAAAGUCUGACGGAGCAACGCCGCGGGAGUGAUGACGGCCUUCGGGUUGUAAAGCUCUGUUAAUCGGGACGCGGUACCGGAAUAGAAAGCCACGGCUAACUACGUGCCAGCAGCCGCGGUAAUUC